ACUCCUACGGGAGGCAGCAGUGGGGAAUAUUGCACAAUGGGCGCAAGCCUGAUGCAGCCAUGCCGCGUGUGUGAAGAAGGCCUUCGGGUUGUAAAGCACUUUCAGUUGUGAGGAAGGUGGUGUCGUUAAUAGCGGCAUCAUUUGACGUUUAGCAACAGAAGAAGCACCGGCUAACUCCGUGCCAGCAGCCGCGGUAAUACGGAGGGUGCGAGCGUUAAUCGGAAUUACUGGGCGUAAAGCGCAUGCAGGUGGUUUGUAAGUCAGAUGUGAAAGCCCGGGGCUCAACCUCGGAACUGCAUUUGAAACUGGCAGACUAGAGUACUGGUAGAGGGGGGUAGAAUUUCAGGUGUAGCGGUGAAAUGCGUAGAGAUCUGAAGGAUACC
rnacentral:rRNA from 1 species